UAAUUAAUAUUAUAAUUGGAAGGAAAUUGAUAGAAUCGAGGAAAUUGUUUGAAAAUAAGAAUAAAAAAAUAAACACAAAACAGUAUAAAAGUCAAAGUAUCAAAAUCUACAAGCAUUAUAUUUCUUAACUUGAGUUAAUCGUCGCAAAAUACAAAAUGAUUAAAUAUUUUUUUAUCGCAUUACUUAUGACAAUGUUUGUGAAAAAUAGUUUACAAGAUGGAUGGGAAAAGUCAAAAGAUGCGAAUGAUAUGAGCCAAGAUUUAGAAGCAGAAUCAUCACGUGAUGAUAUUCAACGAUCAAUCGACGAAGAAGAUGAAGUUCCAGAACCGGCUGAUGAUGAUAAUGGUGAUUUUAGUUCAAUUAAAAAACAAUGGAAACGUAUGAAAAGAUCUCCACGUGAUUAUCCACGAUCCAACUAAUCAAGUCAAAAGAGAGACGACAUAGAAUGGGAACAGCAUUAAUGUAAUUUUGUUUAUUUCUCGCCGCAAUAUUAUAAAGAUUCAUUAAAAUAAAGCUUUUGAACAUUUGAA